ACGUACACUCCUACGGGAGGCAGCAGUGGGGAAUAUUGGACAAUGGGGGCAACCCUGAUCCAGCCAUGCCGCGUGAGUGAUGAAGGCCCUAGGGUUGUAAAGCUCUUUUGUGCGGGAAGAUAAUGACGGUACCGCAAGAAUAAGCCCCGGCUAACUUCGUGCCAGCAGCCGCGGUAAUACGAAGGGGGCUAGCGUUGCUCGGAAUCACUGGGCGUAAAGGGUGCGUAGGCGGGUCUUUAAGUCAGGGGUGAAAUCCUGGAGCUCAACUCCAGAACUGCCUUUGAUACUGAGGAUCUUGAGUCCGGAAGAGGUGAGUGGAACUGCGAGUGUAGAGGUGAAAUUCGUAGAUAUUCGCAAGAACACCAGUGGCGAAGGCGGCUCACUGGUCCGGUACUGACGCUGAGGCACGAAAGCGUGGGGAGCAAACAGGAUUAGAUACCCCUGUAGUCCCAUG
rnacentral:rRNA from 1 species